AGUGGGGAGCCACUGCAGGUUUUAGACAGGGAGGCAACAUGAUCAGACUCAGGUGGAAAGCUCAACAGGGUUGAGAGAGGUAGGGAAGAAAGAAGGAUUAAUGGUUUGAUUGCUGCUUCCCAGAACCGUAAGAAGGGAGAUCUUGGGAGUUCCCACUGUGGCACAGCAGAAAUGAAUCUGACUUGUAUCCAUGAGGAUGUGGGUUCCAUCCCUGGCCUCGCUCAGUGGGUUAAGGAUCCGGCAUUGCCGUGGGCUGCGGUGUGUUUCACAGACAUGGCUCAGAUCCUGCAUUGCUGUGGCUGUGCUGUAGGCCAGCAGCUGUAGCUCCAAUUUGACCCCUAGCCUGGGAACUUCCAAAUGCCUCAGGUGCAGUCCUAAAAAGGCAAAAAAAAAAAAAAAAGAGAGACCUUAUCUUGGCAAAGAGGGAAGGUGAUGCUGAUGCAGGCGGGGCAGAUGGCAGCACAGCUGGCCCGUGUGGUCUGGAACGAGCCGUUUAAGCUGGGAUUGGGUGGGGAGCUUGAGGAGGGUCCACAUUGCUAAAUGCAGGGCCUAUGUGGUUUUAGGCAAGUGACUUUGCUUCUCAGAUUCUCAAGUUCCUCAUCUGUAAAAUGGGCUUCACUUCCCGGUACCACCGCUGGGAGCCGAGAGGUCAAUGAGAUCAUUAAGACAUGCAAAGCACUUAACUUAGACCAGCGCCUGGCACAGAGCAAGUACUCAGAACCACCGAGCAUUGUGGGAAGUGAGGCGUGUCCUUAUUUUCACCACAAUCCUCACAGCUCCUGGGACAGCCUCCCAGGUGCUGAUGAAAUCAACACGGAGUGGAAAGGAGCUGGUACUGGAGCAGGGGACCGUAUGAGGAGCUGA
rnacentral:lncRNA from 1 species